ACUCUCGGCAACGGAUAUCUCGGCUCUCGCAUCGAUGAAGAACGUAGCGAAAUGCGAUACUUGGUGUGAAUUGCAGAAUCCCGUGAACCAUCGAGUCUUUGAACGCAAGUUGCGCCUGAAGCCAUUAGGCUAAAGGCACGCCUGCCUGGGCGUCACGCAUCGCG
rnacentral:rRNA from 1 species